GCUGUACAUCUUGAUCUUCGCGUUGGCUACAUCGACAUAGCUCCUCAAUCUGGCUAGUUACUUCAGACAUUGACGGACGAUUAUCAGGGUAUUGGGCUGCACAAUCUAUUCCAAGCUGCAAGAGCUGAACCAUCUCUUCCUGGACAUUUUGGUACCUCAGGAGCUCAAGAUCGAACACUUCCGAAGUCCAUUCCUCUCUAACUAUGGACUGAACCCAUCUGGGAAGGUCUACACCUUCCUCAUUCAAAAGGGCAUGGGUGGGGGGCUUACCAGUCAGCAGCUCUAAAAGCAAAACGCCGAAGCUAUAAACAUCAGCUUUUUGGGAAACUCUGCGAGGGUCAGUCACUU
rnacentral:misc_RNA from 1 species